UCUAACAUUCUUCAUUCAGGUAAUAGCUCACAUCCACCUUGGUGUACGAGUGAAAAUAUUAAGAUCUGUUUAAAUAAACUAAAAUCUACGAAAGGCCCUGUAGUUUACGAAAGUGGAGAAAUUCUAAAAUAUGAUCCCAGCAUGAGGCCGAUGAUUAGAAGGGAAAUACCAUGCGAAAUUAUUAUUACCGCCGGAAAAAAAAUUAGAAGAAAAGGACUUGGCUGUUAUUACGGUUGUGGUCAUGUCCUGACUGCGUUUCAUGUUGUUGAAGGUUUAGAAAAUUUUGACAUACUCGUUGCUUUCCGUAAUGGAAAAUGUACACUGAUCUAUAAGGCUAAAUUUCCAAAAUCUUGUAACACUGAAUCACACAGAGAUCAGACAUGUAUUAAAUUACUUGGUGACACUAACCCACUUGGUGAUGGUUUACAAAAUCAAGUUGGUAAAGCCAAUAAAUCCAAAAGUGUAUAUUUUUACAUACAAACUCCUGACGGAAUGUUUAAGAAGCAGGAGGGUGAAAUCGUGCAGGAGGGUGAAAUCGUGCAGGACGGUAAAAUCGUUAAAGAAAGACACUAUGAAUUUAGAAUAUCUGUAGCUGGUAAACAUGGAGACAGUGGCUCACUUGUUUAUAAAGCUGAGGGUGAACCGUUUGGCAUAUAUAGAGGCGUACAUAAAGACAAUGGAUAUGGUGUCUGUUCUAAAAUUUCUCCACAUUUGAAACCUGUUAACAUGUCACUGACGUUACAGAUUUAUUUAAUAGUUCUAAAAAAAAAUUUUUAUUUAUAUAAAAAAAACUUAUUUUUUUUAAACCUAACCAGAAACUGACAUUACAGAAUUAUUUAAAAGGUUUAUAACAAUAUUUUAUUUAUAUAAAAAAAAGUCUUAAUUUUUUAAAAGAAUAUCAUUUUUUGUUAUCAUAGCAAACUGUCUCUCACUUUUAUUCUGAGCCUGAGUAUUGUGUACGUGUGUGACGUGCGUGUACAUUCAACACAUGAGUCGAACUGAGCCAUUGGGGCCAAGCCUCUGGAUUUCCCGUUUCAUUUUUGUUUUCUGCCAGACUGAGGAAUUAAAGCUCAUGUAAAAGCGCAACCCAAGUCCGCUGAGUUUCACCUGCUGGCAGGGAACAUUUACCACACUGAUGACAAAAACCUGGAGAUCAGUACACACCGAAAACCACAUGUACAUGGAGCCAAAUCCCCUGGCACAGAUCGUCCAGCCUCAAGCCAUCUUCUAGGAUGCAAGAGAAGCAGCAUCAGGCCCUCACAGGUCUGCAGCAACAGCAACAGGAAAUCCUCUUUAAACAUCAUGGAGGAGCAAGCGGCAGACCAACCCACCAUCCAGAGCCUGAUGGCACUAUCCCCUCUAUAAACACUCUCACUGGCCAUUAUGGCACCCCACGGUGAUGUCGGGGUGAACCUGGAGAUGUUCAAAAGUAACACCUCGGCAUGAGUCCGGCUGAGUGUGCGGUCUGCACAUUCAAGCCCUCCUGAACAGAGACUUGGUUGUUUUCCAGUGGCUUGCAGUGACUCAUGUGUCGUGCACACACACACACACACACACACACACACCAGCACAAAAAUAAAUAAAUAAAAUAAAAUAAAAUAAAUAAUUUAAAAAAACAAACACACAAAACAUUUUUUUAUUAAUAUAAUUAUUAUUAUUAUCUAGUAGAAAGGCAUGUGGUGUACGAUCCUCUGAAAACCACUUCCUCCAUUUUAGUUGUUGGGUCCCCAGGCUGAGGUGCACAAAAUAAGGCCAAGCCUGAUUAUUGUGUACGUGUGUGACGUGUGUGUACGUGCAACACAUGAGUCGAACUGAACCAAUGGGGCCAAGAUUCUGGUUUUUCUGAGAUCAGCGCACACCAAAAAAUCCUCCCUAAACAUCAUGGAGGAGCAAGUGGCAGACCAUCCCACCAUCCAGAGCCUGGUGGCAAGAUCCCCUCUAUAAACUCUCUCAUUGGCCAGAAUGACACCGCAGGGUGAUGUCGAGGUGGACCAUGAGAUGUUCGAGAGUAAUGCCUCGGCAUGAGGCUGACUGUUUGUGAGGGCUGCACAUUCAAGACCUCCUGAACAGAGACCUGGCUGUUUUCCAAUGGCUUGCAUUGGCUCAUGCGUCGUGCAUACACACACACACCACUCAUGCUCUCUUUCAUAAGAAAGAGAGAGGGGGACAGAACAGCUUAUAUAAUUAUAUAAAUAACAAUCAUUAUUAUUAUUAUUAUUAUUAUUAUUAUUAUCCAUCCAUCCAUCUUCUACCGCUUACUCCUUCUUCAGGGUUGCGGGGGAACCUGGAGCCUAUCCCAGGGAGCAUUGGGCACAAGGCGGGGUACACCCUGGACAGGGUGCCAAUUAUUAUUAUUAUUAUUAAGUGAGGAUGAAGAAGUUUGAUGAGCCAUGCCCUGGGUGUAAGUUCUAGCCUAACCUCUCCUCAAGGGUGACCCCCUGCGAAACGCAAAGUAUCUGGGUUGAAGACAAUCAUAGCUACAACCACUGAGAAAGGAAGUGAUGGACUUUUUUUUUUUCUAUUUCUCCAUUUACAUGUAAUCAGUUGUGUGAUUAGAGACUGGGUGAUCACUGUCUGACUUAUCAUUGUAAUCAAGCUGAGAAAAUUAUUCUGUACUCAUGUUUAUUGCUCUAUAUUCAUAUCACCUAUAUGGGUUUAAUCAACUUUGUACUCUACAUAACCGUGACAACCACGGGCAAGUGCUGAACCAAAUGAACGCUCAUGCUUACGAUCAUUAUGCUUGAUUUUUAUGGAUAGGGACAGGGAGACAGAAUCUUUUACUCUUUCCUGGUCUAUGCUGGAAAGAGAUGUUUGUUUCUGGUCUCCACAAGAGAGUGGUUUCAGGAUUUGGUCGUUGGUAGAUGGCUGAUGUGAUCAUACAUUGAUCACUAGUUAGUGUUAAAGAAGGGACUGGAUUGUGAGAUUACUCUCUUGAGAUAGGUGAGACUUAGUAUGUCCCAGAGGGGGGAAAUAUAUAGGAUAUAAAGUGUAAUCAAUGUGUUAACUAAAAUUUGGAAAUGUUAAUAAAGUAUAAUCUAAUAUGUAUAA